GCAUAAUCAGUAGUCUUUUAAUUGAAGGCUCGUAUGAAUGGUUGGACGAAAUAUUAACUGUUUCAUUUAAAAUUUUUAUAGAAUUUUAUUUUUUAGUCAAAAAGCUAAAAUAUAAUUAAAAGACGAGAAGACCCUAUAAAUCUUGAUAUUUAUAAUAAUUUUAAUUAUAAAGAUUAAUUAAAUUAUAAUUAUUAAAAAUAUUUUAUUGGGGUGAUAUUAAAAUUUACAAAACUUUUAAUUAAUUUUAAACAUAAAUGUAUGAAUAUAUGAUCCAUUAAUAAUGAUUAAAAAUUUAAGUUACUUUAGGGAUAACAGCGUAAUUUUUUUGGAGAGUUCAUAUUGAUAAAAAAGAUUGCGACCUCGAUGUUGGAUUAA
rnacentral:rRNA from 1 species